AUUGAACGCUGGCGGCAUGCCUUACACAUGCAAGUCGAACGGUAACGGGCCUUCGGGUGCCGACGAGUGGCGAACGGGUGAGUAAUGCAUCGGAACGUACCUUUCAGUGGGGGAUAACGUAGCGAAAGUUACGCUAAUACCGCAUAUUCUGUGAGCAGGAAAGCAGGGGAUCGCAAGACCUUGCGCUGAUUGAGCGGCCGAUGUCAGAUUAGCUAGUUGGUGAGGUAAAGGCUCACCAAGGCGACGAUCUGUAGCGGGUCUGAGAGGAUGAUCCGCCACACUGGAACUGAGAUACGGCCCAGACUCCUACGGGAGGCAGCAGUGGGGAAUAUUGCACAAUGGGCGCAAGCCUGAUGCAGCGACGCCGCGUGAGGGAUGACGGCCUUCGGGUUGUAACCUACUUUCAGCACAGACGAAGCGCAAGUGACGGUAUGUGCAGAAGAAGGACCGGCCAACUACGUGCCAGCAGCCGCGGUAAU
rnacentral:rRNA from 1 species